UUGAUUUUAUAUAUUAGGUAGGUGCCAAUUCUGUUUCUAGCUUCAGAAGUUAUUUAUACCUAUGCAAUACCUUCGCUCAGGUUAAAGAAUGGAAUACUAGUCUUGCAUCAAAUAUAUAUUACAUAUCCAUUUGAUGUUUAUCACCAGAAGUUAGUUCUACCUUUGCAGUACCUCUGCUUUACAUACCUCCUCGCUGGUUAAAGAAUGGAAUAUAAAUCUCAUAUCAAGUUGGUGUAAAAAUUUAGUUCAAUAAAUUAAGAAUUUAUAAACGUUCUCAAAAUUUUGAGUGGAGCAAUUGUAUUUCUGGUUUAGCAUGAGUAUGAAUCUGAUAUCAAUUGUAUGUACAAAGAUAGUUUACUUUUUAAAGAACUUAUCAGUAAACCAACUGAUUAUAAAACAGUUUUUAAUGGGAAUAAAAACAAAUUUUCAAAA
rnacentral:lncRNA from 1 species